GCGGCCGAGCUGGACGGGGAACCCCGAGGAGAAGGGGGCAAACGGGGAGGGAUGCAGGCGGGGCGCUGAGAAGUUUAUCGUUGUGAUUAGCGUGUUUUUCCUCCCAGAAAUUAACGGUGUGUGAAAUUGAAAGGAAGGGGGAAGGACUGUGAGCCCCACUUUCUAUCGCCGUCCGCGGUUGGGUGAUCAAAUAUGCCGGAGGCUAAGGUCAAUCCUUCGCUUGCCUAGGAAGCUGUGAAGGUGAAAGACCUGGAGGAAAGGCAACCAGUCAUCAAUCUCCAACUGCAAGGGACGUCUGAGGUCACUGGGUCAUUCUGCCUCCUCCCUUCACCGAUGGGGAUACUGAGGCCCAGAGCCACGAAGUCCCCUGUUCGGGCUCUCACAGCUCCUUGUUGGGAAUCAAUCUAGCCUCCUACAACUACUUGCAGCUAUUUAUCGUCCAAGUCCUGCUUAGUUCAAAACCCCUCCUUUUGAUUUUAACUCCAAGUGACUCUUGGAAGCUGCACAGCCAGGAAGUGGCUAACUCAGGAUUUGAACACGAGCCCUAGGCGGCUCGUGGGUUUGGAACAAGAAGGCCCCGGAGAGAAUGUUAUCCAAUCCCCUCAUUUUGCAAACGAAGUUUUUGGGAGUCCCCAAAAGCUUCUUACACCUGCCACUUUCACCUGUGGAAGUGGCCUCCUGUAGCUCCUGGAAAGAGCCCCUCCCAAGAAGCAAUUCUUAGCCUUCCCAGUGGUUGUUACCCUGGCCUGAAGCUCUCUCCCCCAUCUCUGCCUCCUAGUUUCUUUCAAGCCUCAUCUGCAGGAAUCCUUUCCCAAUCCUCCUUAAUCUUUGUGCCUUCCCUUUGAACUGACCCCCAUUUAGCUCACUUUCAUCUUGUUUGUACCUAGUUGUUUGCAUUCUGUUUGACUGUAAGCCCCUUGGGAGUGAAACCAUGUUACCUUUCUUUAUAUCUCCAGUACUUAAUACAGAACCCAGCACAUACAAUUGCUCAAUAAACUCUGACCAGUUAAAUGACAAACUCUGUAUCCUUGAGGUUAGAAAGACAGACAAAAUGGUCCCUCCCAUCUUGGAAUUUAUAUUGUACUAAGUAGAAUUUGGUUGAAACAUUUUGCAGGAACAGAGAGUACUGACUGUGAUUGGAGAAAGGUGACUUUUCCUGUUUGAGAACCACCAAUAAUUUGCUCACGAAUUGAAGUGAGGCUGAAGCAUCAGCUUGUCCAGGGACAAGAUAAAAGUCGAAGUUAGUCUGAAUGGUUCAGGAUUCAGUGGCUGACCUUGACCUUUCUAAAUUAAAAUGAUUUCAUCCGCCUGGCAAAGGAAUUCCACCUUUGACAUUGUUUACUCCAGGGCUCUGACUACCUAAUAUAAGCAGAAACCUCUAAAUAUUUGAAUGUCCUCAUGCUCAAUAAAUUCUACAAAAAAAAAAAAAAAAAAAAAA